rnacentral:rRNA from 1 species
CUCUUUUUGAAUAUAAUUUAAAGUCGGGCCUGCCCACUGAAAUUUGAAGGGCCGCAGUAUUUUGACUGUGCAAAGGUAGCAUAAUCAUUAGUUUUUUAAUUGAAAGCUUGUAUGAAUGGUUUGAUGAGAAAAUUUCUGUUUCAAUUUUAAUUUAUAGAAUUUUAUUUUUAAGUAAAAAAGCUUAAAUUUAAUUUAAAGACGAGAAGACCCUAUAGAGUUUUACUUAUAUUAAAAUUAUUAAUUUAAGAAUUUUAUAUUUAUAAUUUUAUAAAAGUUUUGUUGGGGUGACAAAAAAAUUAGAAUAACUUUUUUUUUAUAAAAACAAUAAUUUUUGAUUAUUUGAUCCAUAUAAUUGAUUAAAAGAUUAAAUUACCUUAGGGAUAACAGCGUAAUUUUUUUUGAGAGUUCUUAUUAAAAAAAGAGAUUGCGACCUCGAUGUUGGAUUAAAAUUUAUUUUUGGUGAAGAAGCUAAAAAAUUAGGUCUGUUCGACCUUUAAAAUUUUACAUGAUCUGAGUUUAAACCGGUGUGAGCCAGGUUGGUUUCUAUCUUAAAUUUAUUUAAUAUUUUAGUACGAAAGGAUCAAAUAUUAUAUUAAUAAUAUUUAUUAAAGAAUUUUAUUUUGGCAGAUUAGUGCGAAGGAUUUAGAAUCUUUUUAUGUAUUUAUAUACAGAUAAAAAUUGAUUUAAUUUUAAUUAUUUUAAAUUUUUCAAUUUUAUUAAUUGGGGUUUUAGUAGGAUUAGCAUUUUUAACUUUAUUGGAACGUAAAUU